rnacentral:rRNA from 1 species
GCGUUGUCCGGAAUCAUUGGGCGUAAAGAGCGUGUAGGCGGCUCGAUCAGUCCGCUGUGAAAGUCCAGGGCUCAACCCUGGAAAGCCGGUGGAUACUGUCGGGCUAGAGUUCGGAAGAGGCGAGUGGAAUUCCUGGUGUAGCGGUGAAAUGCGCAGAUAUCAGGAGGAACACCAAUGGCGAAGGCAGGUCUCUGGGCAAAUACUGACGCUGAGGAGCGAAAGCAUG